CCCCCCAAAAACGAAAAUGUGACGGGGUUACCCAAAGUGCUCUUCUUAGAGCUGUGGUAGGAGAGUAAUGUCCCCCCCUUUAAAGGAGAGGGGAAGGCUGGUGCCAGCCGCCGCGGUAAAACCAGCUCUUCAAGUGGUCGGGAUAAUUAUUGGGCUUAAAGUGUCCGUAGCCGGUUUAGUAAGUUCCUGGUAAAAUCGGGUAGCUUAACUAUCUAUAUGCUAGGAAUACUGCUAUACUAGAGGGCGGGAGAGGUCUGAGGUACUACAGGGGUAGGGGUGAAAUCUUAUAAUCCUUGUAGGACCACCAGUGGCGAAGGCGUCAGACUGGAACGCGCCUGACGGUGAGGGACGAAAGCCAGGGGAGCGAACCGGAUUAGAUACCCGGGUAGUCCUGGCCGUAAACGAUGCAUACUAGGUGAUGGUACGGCUAUGAGCCGUAUCAGUGCCGUAGGGAAACCGUUAAGUGUGCCGCCUGGGAAGUACGGUCGCAAGGCUAAAACUUAAAGGAAUUGGCGGGGGA
rnacentral:rRNA from 1 species